rnacentral:rRNA from 1 species
AUGCAGACGGCGAUGGCGGAUGGUUCUGGUGGGGGAGGAGAUCCCCGCCAACCGCCCGCAAGGUUUGAUAUGAAUAAGGUCCGGCAGUAUGUGCAAGAAGAACAUUGGGAUAUGCUUGAAUUAUAUUUCACAGAGUCUCUGGGGCGUAUGGGGCAUACUGACAAGAAGCAUCCGUACCUGUGGUUACUAUGUCGGAGAUCACUGUUAUUGAGCCUUGACAAUAAUGAUGCUCUUCCAUAUUUCGAAGAAAAGGUGCUACCCCUUAAGGGACUGCAGAAUGAGUUUACGAAUACUGCAAAUUUGGACAAGAUGGUCAUAGAUAUUGCCGACCAUAUAAAAGGAGAGAAGGUGAUCAAUUUUCAUUCAAAUGAUGUACUGACUGCCAUGCAAGAUUACAUGAGCCUCUGCCUCAGAGAGUUAUUUGAGCACAUUGGUAAACCAACAGCUCAUGGGAAAUUUCGAGCUUUUGUAUUUUCACUACCCGAAGAUGAGCAGUAUAGAUGUCUAAUGUGCCACGAGGUCUUUGGGAAAAAGCCUAAUAAGUUUUUUCCGAGUCACCUCGACAAGUGCAAAAAUGGCACGGUCAAUGUCAAGAAUAGAUGCCGUACACUAUUAGGCCCUGGGAAGGUAACGGAUGCUCAUCCUCAGAGAGAGCAAGUUGAUGCUACUAAGGAUAAUGUUGCUGGGUCCGGUGUGAAAAGGAACUUCAUGGCUGGGAAAGAAGUGGAUAUUUCCGCCAAUUCAAGCAUGGCAGGGAAUAACAUUGCGUCUACCAUCAAUUUGGGGAGAAACAUGGGUUUAGUGAAGUUGUUCAACAAAGCCAGGAGCCUUACCGUGGAUCUCGGUGAAAUGCUUGAUGACCGCUCUAGGUUUGAUUUGGCGCAGUCUGAGUUGUUUCAAGUUAUCAUGGAGAUUGAAAGCAUGACUCUGCACCAAGAUAAGAUGACAACACACAGUGUGCGGCAGGUGCGGCGCAACCUUGGGCCGCAAUUUAUGGGCAAUGAUGGGGGGCCCUCUGAGCAAUCAUUUCCAAGUCAGCUCAUGGGUAUGCCAGGGCAACAUCUGCAACAUCAAUAUAUGGAUAACUGGGGUCUCGGGUCAUCUUCAAGUCAACUUGGGGAGAGUCCAUGUCAUCUUGGGAAGCAGACGCAGCCGGGACAUAUGGAAGAAAACUGGGAUUUCCAGCAACAGCCAUCCUCAGGUCUCUCGUGGGAGAUGCCGGGCCAGUCCUCAGGUUACUCGUGGGAGAUGACAGGCCGGUCCUCAGAUCACUCGUGGCAGAUGCCAGGCCACCCAGGUCACUCGUGGGACAUGACAGGCCAGUCCUCACGUCGCUUGUGGGAGAUGCCGGGGCAGCAGAAGCAUCAGUGGACUGACCAUGUUCUCCUUGGUUCCUCAGCAACAACAAAUCCAGAAAUGACAAUUUAUGAAGCUCCGUCGACAUUCGUACCGCAAGCUCCUCUGAAUCCAUCCAGCAGUACUUCUGCGACCCACAUGAAUCAAGAUGUGUAUUUUCCUUCAGCCGCGUAUGAUCAUCAAACUGAAACUUCUUCAGUAGCACCACAGCAAGGUGCGUAUCCUCCUACAGUUAUGCAAGGUCAGCAGACAGAAACUUCUGUGUCGCAGCAUGGCGUGGGCUUUGUUGAAGACCAAUGGAGUAUGGAUGAUCUGUUCAAGGCAGAUGACAGGGUGAUGUUUGUAUCUGAUCUUUACCCUCAAGGUGCAGAUGCUGGGACGAUUCCAGCACCUCAAGCAAAUCAGGAAGCACCUCAAGCCACUGGCCACCAGUCCACUGAUUCCCUGCAUCAGCAGUAA